GAGGGUAUAGCUCAGUGGGUAGAGUGCAUGCUUAGGAUGCACAAGGUUCUGGGUUUGAUCCCCAGUACCAUUA
rnacentral:tRNA from 1 species